AUGCUAUUGAGAAGGUUUGGUAAAACUUCUGGGAAAUAUAAAGGUCUCACCUUUUUUGUAUGUUUCUCUUGUACAGCUUUAAACCUGGCCUAUAAGCUGAGUCCAACUAAAAGGAAUUUGCACAAGGCUUACAGAAAAGGGGAUCUCAGACAUGAUGUGUUCGGCAGUCACUGCCCCAGUGCCUUGUGGCUGAAAACAGCAUCAUCCAUCCUGGAUUUCUCUCUUGCCUGUUGAGUCCAACACCACAGCACACACUAUAUUGUUGGAUCAUGCCGAUCCCCCACACAACUUGCACACAGUACAACUAUCUUCUACUAUUCAAAUGAGUUCCAUCCAAAUCACUGUUGACAAAGUUAAGUAAAAUAUCAGUGUGUUACAUUUUUUUUCAGCAACUAAGAACUGCCUUAAAACAAGAAACCUUGGGAAGUAAAAAUGCUUAUUUGGUACUAGGAAGUGAAAUAUAUUUCAUAUGUCUAGGGAUGCAUGAUAUUGGAUUUUUGUCGAUAUCUGAUAUGCUGAUAUUUUUCAACUCAUUCUGGCCGAUAGCCAAUGCCGAUACCAGUAUACUUCCUUUUUUUUGUUUUUUUUUUGUGCUGCUGUUGUAAGCAACACCAAGUCUGUCCUGUGCAGAGAUUCUAAACAAAUUAUUUUUAUGUUGUCUUUUUUUUUUUUUUGUAGAUUUAAUAUUUGUAGAAGGUCUAAAGCAAAAAAUGUCCUUGUAUUUAAGUUUUCAUAAUCAAUUUAAAAAUAUAUAUUACACAUUAAAUAAUAAAUCUGUAUAUAUAAAAUUAUUCA
ensembl:lncRNA